GAUGAACGCUGGCGGCGCGCCUAAUACAUGCAAGUCGAGCGAAUGGAUUGAGAGCUUGCUCUUAUGAAGUUAGCGGCGGACGGGUGAGUAACACGUGGGUAACCUGCCCAUAAGACUGGGAUAACUCCGGGAAACCGGGGCUAAUACCGGAUAACAUUUUGAACCGCAUGGUUCGAAAUUGAAAGGCGGCUUCGGCUGUCACUUAUGGAUGGACCCGCGUCGCAUUAGCUAGUUGGUGAGGUAACGGCUCACCAAGGCAACGAUGCGUAGCCGACCUGGGAGGUUGAUCGGCCACACUGGGACUGAGACACGGCCCAGACUCCUGGGGGAGGCAGCAGUAGGGAAUCUUCCGCAAUGGACGAAAGUCUGACGGAGCAACGCCGCGUGAGUGAUGAAGGCUUUCGGGUCGUAAAACUCUGUUGUUAGGGAAGAACAAGUGCUAGUUGAAUAAGCUGGCACCUUGACGGUACCUAACCAGAAAGCCACGGCUAACUACGUGCCAGCAGCCGCAGUAA
rnacentral:rRNA from 1 species